UAUGGCCACAUCAUGUGGAAACACCAGUUCCCAUAUAAUCACUAAAGUUAAGCAUUAUGGAACCUGGUAAGUACCCAGAUGAGUGACCAUUUGGGAAAACUAUGUGCUGUAA